rnacentral:tRNA from 1 species
GGUAGGAUGGCUGAGCUUAAGCGGUGGAUUGUAGACCCAUAGACAGAGGUUAGAGUCCUCUUCUUAUCA